rnacentral:rRNA from 1 species
GUAAUUCUGCUUUCGGGCAGAAACGACCGGCGCACGGGUGCGUAACGCGUAUGCAACCUACCCACAACUGGGGGAUAGCCCGGAGAAAUCCGGAUUAAUACCCCAUAAUGCAGGGGUACUGCAUGGUACUAUUUGCUAAAGAUUUAUCGGUUGUGGAUGGGCAUGCGUCUGAUUAGUUAGUUGGUGAGGUAACGGCUCACCAAGGCGACGAUCAGUAGGGGGUCUGAGAGGAUGAUCCCCCACACUGGUACUGAGAUACGGACCAGACUCCUACGGGAGGCAGCAGUAGGGAAUAUUGGUCAAUGGGCGCAAGCCUGAACCAGCCAUGCCGCGUGCAGGAUGACGGCCUUCUGGGUUGUAAACUGCUUUUAUCAGGGAAGAAAACGGUCAUGCGUGACAGAUUGACGGUACCUGAAGAAUAAGCACCGGCUAACUCCGUGCCAGCAGCCGCGGUAAUACGGAGGGUGCAAGCGUUGUCCGGAUUUAUUGGGUUUAAAGGGUGCGUAGGCGGAUUAUUAAGUCAGUGGUGAAAGUUUGCGGCUCAACCGUAAAAGUGCCAUUGAUACUGGUAGUCUUGAGUACAGUAGAGGUAGGCGGAAUUUAUGGUGUAGCGGUGAAAUGCAUAGAUACCAUAAAGAACACCGAUAGCGAAGGCAGCUUACUAUGCUGUAACUGACGCUGAGGCACGAAAGCGUGGGGAGCGAACAGGAUUAGAUACCCUGGUAGUCCACGCUGUAAACGAUGAAGACUCGCUGUUGGCGAUACACAGUCAGUGGCCAAGCGAAAGCGUUAAGUCUUCCA